GACGAACCGAGCGAACGUUAUUCGGAAUCACUGGGCUUAAAGGGCGCGUAGGCGGGCGGCCAAGUCAGGGGUGAAAGCCCCCAGCUCAACUGGGGAAGUGCCUCUGAUACUGGUCAUCUUGAGGGAGGUAGGGGCGUGCGGAACUUCCGGUGGAGCGGUGAAAUGCGUAGAUAUCGGAAGGAACACCGGUGGCGAAAGCGGCGCGCUGGACCUCUUCUGACGCUGAGGCGCGAAAGCCAGGGGAGCAAACGGG
rnacentral:rRNA from 1 species